rnacentral:rRNA from 1 species
AUGCAUGAAAUGAUUACCUACAAUCACACUCUUUCAAAGAUAAAAAAUAUAUCAAAUUGCUCUACUCCCUUGCUCGGUGACCGUGGCUACACCUAUCGAUCCAUUUCGAACCAUAAUCAAUUUGUGAGAAUUUUGUUUAUGGGAAGUCUUUGCAAACAUAAAAGAUCAAAUCACUUCUCAAUGAAAUUAGGAAGUGACAAAUGGCAAAGAAGACAUAGUGGUCCUCCAAUACAUGAGCUAGUAAAUUGGCACUACAUAAUAAAAUUAUUGUUAUCAAUACAAUGUAACAUCAACCAUUCACUAAUGCUAGGAAAUUUUCAUAAGCUCCGUUACCACAUCUAA